UGAGGAAUAUUGGUCAAUGGACGGAAGUCUGAACCAGCCAAGUAGCGUGCAGGAUGACGGCCCUAUGGGUUGUAAACUGCUUUUGUAUGGGGAUAAAGUUAGGGACGUGUCCCUAUUUGCAGGUACCAUACGAAUAAGGACCGGCUAAUUCCGUGCCAGCAGCCGCGGUAAUACGGAAGGUCCAGGCGUUAUCCGGAUUUAUUGGGUUUAAAGGGAGCGUAGGCUGGAGAUUAAGUGUGUUGUGAAAUGUAGACGCUCAACGUCUGAAUUGCAGCGCAUACUGGUUUCCUUGAGUACGCACAACGUAGGCGGAAUUCAUGGUGUAGCGGUGAAAUGCUUAGAUAUCAUGAAGAACUCCGAUUGCGAAGGCAGCUUACGGGAGCGCAACUGACGCUGAAGCUCGAAGGUGCGGGUAUCGAACAGG
rnacentral:rRNA from 1 species